CGUUAUGUAUCAGUUUGGGGACUUUCAGGUCUGUGCUUUUAGCACUUUUUUGUUUUGUUUUGUUUUGAGACGGAGUCUCUCUCUGUCGCCCAGGCUGGAGUGCAGUGGCGCGAUCUCGGCUCACUGCAAGCUCUGCCUCCUGGGUUCACGCCAUUCUCCUGCCUCAGCCUCCCGAGUAGCUGGGACUACAGGCGCCCACCACCACAUCCGGCUAAUUGCUUUUAGCACUUUUUUGGGAGAGGUGUGUGGCAACAGUAAAGCUUUCUACAUGUUAAACAGAAUGAACAAAACCAACGCAGAGCAGUGACUUCCUGUCAGAGCAGAAGGAGACCCUUAUAGAACAGCUGUGCCACUGCUCCAAAGGCCUCGUGUGGUUCUAUCCCUUGGACUGCCUUUCUUCAACAGCCCAGACACCUGCUCUGUCAGAUUUAUAAGCCACACCCCCUAGAGCCAUGCCAAUCAAAGCAUGGCCCGCAGACCUGUGCCAGUCUCCGAACCUCUUUGUUACCGAUUUGGAGCAAGAUGGGGACAGAAAUUGAGAGCCAGAGUU